rnacentral:rRNA from 1 species
GGAAGCACCGGCUAACUCCGUGCCUGCAGCCGCGGUAAUACGGAGGGUGCGAGCGUUGUUCGGAAUUAUUGGGCGUAAAGCGCGUGUAGGCGGCUCCUUAAGUCUGACGUGAAAGCCCCGGGCUCAACCUGGGAAGUGCAUUGGAAACUGGGGAACUUGAAUACGGGAGAGGGUAGUGGAAUUCCUGGUGUAGGAGUGAAAUCCGUAGAUAUCAGGAGGAACACCGGUGGCGAAGGCGGCUACCUGGACCGAUAUUGACGCUGAGACGCGAAAGCGUGGGGAGCAAACAGGAUUAGAUACCCUGGUAGUCCACGCCGUAAACGAUGAGAACUAGGUGUCGCGGGUA